rnacentral:rRNA from 1 species
ACACGUGGAUAACGUACCCCGAUGUCCGGGACAGCCUGUAGAAAUAGAGGGUAAUACCGGAUAGAUCACUGUUUACGGAAGGUAGACAGCGGGAAAGGAGCUUCGGCUCCGCGACGGGAUCGGUCUGCGGCCCAUCAGCUAGACGGCGGGGUAAAGGCCCGCCGUGGCGAGGACGGGUAUCCGGCCUGAGAGGGCGGACGGACACAUUGGGACUGAGAUACGGCCCAGACUCCUACGGGAGGCAGCAGGUAAGAAUAUUCCGCAAUGGAGGGAACCCUGACGGAGCGACGCCGCGUGAACGAAGAAGGCCGGAAGGUUGUAAAGUUCUUUUCUGUCCGAGGAAUAAGUUUCGGAGGA